rnacentral:rRNA from 1 species
CCUACGGGUGGCAGCAGUGGGGAAUAUUGCACAAUGGGGGGAACCCUGAUGCAGCGACGCCGCGUGAGUGAAGAAGUAUUUCGGUACGUAAAGCUCUAUCAGCAGGGAAGAAAAAAGGACGGUACCUGAGUAAGAAGCCCCGGCUAACUACGUGCCAGCAGCCGCGGUAAUACGUAGGGGGCAAGCGUUAUCCGGAAUUACUGGGUGUAAAGGGAGCGUAGACGGCAAUGCAAGUCCGGAGUGGAAUGCGGCAGCUCAACUGCCGAACUGCUCUGGAAACUGUAUGGCUUGAGUGCAGGAGGGGUAAGCGGAAUUCCUGGUGUAGCGGUGAAAUGCGUAGAUAUCAGGAGGAACACCGGUGGCGAAGGCGGCUUACCGGCGCCCAACUGACGCUGAAGCACGAAAGCGUGGGUAUCGAACAGGAUUAGAUACCCUAGUAGUC